UGGGGAAUCUUCCGCAAUGGGGCGAAAGCCUGACGGAGCAAUGCCGCGUGAGUGAAGAAGGCCUUCGGGUUGUAAACUCUGUCCUUAUCGAAGAGAGGGUAUGGUGUGAAUAAUGCCAUAUUAGGACGGUAGAUAAGGAGGAAGCCCCGGCUAACUACGUGCCAGCAGCCGCGGUAAUACGUAGGGGGCGAGCGUUGUCCGGAAUCACUGGGCGUAAAGGGCGCGUAGGCGGUCUGGUAAGUCAGUGGUGAAAACUGAGGGCUCAACCCUCAGCCUGCCACUGAUACUGUCAGACUUGAGUAUGGAAGAGGAGAAUGGAAUUCCUAGUGUAGCGGUGA
rnacentral:rRNA from 1 species